AUGUGCGGUGGAGCGCCCCUCGCGGCCGUCAAGGUUCCCACAGUGAUGCGGAAGAUGACAAAGGCAGCACUAUGGCCUGAGAAGAAGAAGCCUCGGCAUGGCGGCAGCAGGGGCCAACGCGUCACGGGGCUCUGCGGGCGCAGGGGACCCGGCCUGGAUGACAAUGAGGAGGACUUCGAGGCCGACUCUGGGGACUCCGACCUGGAUCUCGAGCGCACUAUGGUGGAUGAGAAGAAUGACGACGACGAGGUCGGUGAGAUCAUGUCCUUUGCCGCCGUCAAGAACUCCCUCUCCCAAGGUUUUGAUGGUCCUUCAGCAAAAAGGAAGAGAAAGAACCAAUUCAGGGGUAUUCGUCAGCGCCCCUGGGGUAAGUGGGCUGCUGAAAUCAGAGAUCCAAGCAAGGGUUCACGUGUCUGGCUUGGUACUUUCAAUAGUGCUGAAGAAGCUGCAAGAGCUUAUGAUGUUGAAGCACGCAUGAUACGUGGCAACAAGGCCAAGGUUAACUUUCCAACGGAACCAACAGUUCCUCAGAAGCGCCGGGCUCGCCCUACUGCUCCUAAAGCACCCAAGCGAAGCUUGGCACAUGAACCUUCUGUCAUGUCAUCAAUCAACAACCUUGCCAACCCAAAUGCUUUCAUCUACCCAUCCGCUGACUUUCAUCAAACCAGCCACUUGCUCUGCCUAACAACGUGUCAUUUGUUCCUGCAAUGA
rnacentral:rRNA from 1 species